AGUGAUGUGAUUGCAUAAGUCAGUUAGCGAUGCUGAGAAGACCCUUCCCCAUGAGCUAUAUCUCUGACUGUAAAAGUCUCUUCUCGUUCUCCUCCAUGCUUGCAAAUCUGUUAGAAGAAAAAAAAAAUAGUUGUUUUCAUAUGACUCUUGUUUUGGUUAUAAAAAAGCAUAUUACUCCUGAGUGAAUGUGUUUUUCUGACUGAUAAAAUCUUCUUUGUGGUUACUAAUGGAUUUCUGUUCUGUUUAGAUGAAUAUCACUUGUCCAUUGCUUCGAGCAAGGGAUAUAUGCUUUCAGGAGGCAUAAUACAGGUUUGCUUCUGUCAGGGACCUUCUGAGCGAGGGAGGAAUUGCCAUGUAUUAUCUGAUGAUUGUGAUGAGCGAUGGCCUGUUCCAACCACUACAAGUCAGUAGAUAAGUUAUCUGAAUUCUUACCAAAUUAGCAUUUUACUGAUGCUAUGGCCCAACCAGAACUUGGAUUACAUAUUCGAUGAAAUGCUUCAAUUACUUACUUGGUGCUCUCCGUUGAUUCUGGUGUCUCCAUGCUAUCAUGAGUUUGCAGUUUUGUUUAAGUUCAUGGCAUAUUUGAGUCUUGGAGGUGGAUAGCAAUAUAUACAAAAAUGAAUAGAAUGGAAAACAAUAAAUUUUCUUAAUUUGUUUUCCUUUUUCUGUUUGUCUGCUUUCAGUACUAAUUUUUCUUUUUCAAAUACUAGGAUAGAAUUUACACUUGCCUCUUAUCCACCUAACAUUGGAUAAACUGCAAUCUUCCACAUUCAGUGCAUGAAGGCAUAUAAGAUUCAUCACACAACUGAUGUCCAAAUGUUUUUUUUAUUCUGAAUUCUGAGCCUUCUUCACGAACUGCUACUUCUAGCAAGAAGCAUGUGGAUUGCUUUAUUCCAGGAAGAUAUUGCAUAACGGGGAAAGAGUUGAAACUUCUAUACAUUUGGAUUGGAAAAGCUUGCAUGGUUCAGAUACUGUAGGCUCCAAGAAACUGCUGCAAUAAUAAUGCAUUUCUAAAGGGAAAUGCCUCAAGCUUGUGAGCUGGUUGCAUCCGACUCCGGUGGCACUCUUAUAAUGUCUGGCAUUGUCAAAGGAUGGGACCUGAACAAGAUGAAUGAUUGAAACAUAACCAUGGUGUUUACCCCAAACAUGAAAGAUGUAACCUUAUUCGCUACUAUUGUAGUAUUGAAGGGAGUCUGCAACAAGAUGUUCCUUUGGUUAUUUGUGUGCUCAAUUUAUUGUUGCUUCACGAUUUAGCAGAAAAUAUUAUCAAAACUACACAUUAAUAUAACAGAGAUGCAUGACUUCAUGUGUACAUAAAAAGCUGCUGACUAGAUUAGCCAACCUAAGACUUGUUACUAUGCAUAGAACCGACUAACUUUGAUGGCCUAAUGACUGAUAUAUGAUAAUAUAUAUUUGGAUCAAUAUGCUUUGCUAAUCUUUCCAAAUGUUCUGAAACUCCACUCCUAUUUAGUUAAGAAGAUUGUGAUCCAUGCAUGAUACAAAAAGUCCUAAUAAGAGGCCUCAUUUCAUCCGUAUGCUUGUGACAAGCCCCAUGCUUUUGCUUGGUUUCUUGCAUAAAAACAGUUCUUUCCCGAUCAAUAUUGUUUCUGGCAGGUAAGGGCCCAAAGGAAGUGAUGAACCUCUGGCAGCUGGCACAAGCAGUUUGCACUGUAAACCCAGCAGCUAAUGGAAGGACAAAGGGUUCACCAUACUAGCUCCUUGGUACAGGAAGAAAUUUAUGUUGUGUGAUUGUGUCUACGCUAAACCUCCGGUUAGCCUUUCCUGUUUUCAUCACAACCAUGAAUCACAAGAAUGAAGAAUUAACAUCCUUCUGAUUUCUUGGUUAUUCGACAAGCAUUGAUUGCAA